ACGGCUCAGUAACACGUAGAUAAUCUGCCCUUAAGUUAGGGAUAACCUUGGGAAACUGAGGCUAAACCCUUAUAUGAGACGAUUUCUGGAAUGAUAUGUCUCUUAAAAGCAAUGCUUAAGGAUGAGUCUGCGGCCGAUUAGGUUGUUGGCGAGGUAAAGGCUCACCAAGCCUACGAUCGGUACGGGCCUUGAGAGAGGUUGCCCGGAGAGGGGUUCUGAGACACUAACCCCAGCCCUACGGGGUGCAGCAGGCGCGAAAACUUUACACUGUGCGAAAGCGUGAUAAGGGUAUUCUCAGUGCCUAUACUUAGUAUAGGCUUUUGCCAAGGGUAGAUUCCUUGGCGAAUAAGUGGUGGGUAAGACUGGUGCCAGCCGCCGCGGUAAUCCCAGCACCACAAGUGGCAAUCACGAUUAUUGGGUCUAAAGCGUCCGUAGUCGGUCCUGUAAGUCUUUUGUCAAAUUGUGACACAUAACGUUGCACUCGCAAAGGAUACUGCAAGACUAGGGAUUGGAGAGAGGUUGGAGGUAUUUAUUGGGGAGCGGUAAAAUGUGAUAAUCCAAUAAAGACCACCUGUGGCGAAGGCGUCCAACCAGAACAACUCCGACGAUGAGGGACGAAAGCUAGGGGAGCGAACCGGAUUAGAUACCCGGGUAGUCCCAGCUGUAAACGAUGCAGGCUAGGUGUUAGGGCGGCCACGUGCCGCUCUAGUGCCGCAGGGAAGCUGUUAAGCCUGCCGCCUGGGGAGUACGGCCGCAAGGCUGAAACUUAAAGGAAUUGGCGGGGGAGCA
rnacentral:rRNA from 1 species